UAUAAAGAGAAAUUUGAUAUCUUAUAAUAAAAGGAUCAUAUAAAACUUCUAUAGAAAGGGAUCGCGAUAUUUCAAUAAUGAAAAAACUGUAAAACUCUUAAAACAAUAUGCUAGAAUUUAUUGAUUAUGAAAUAUUAAAAAAAAUAGAUCAUUAACAUCUAAAAAUAAUUAGCGAUGGACUAUAAAAUAAAAUAUAUAAAAAAAUAAAGAAUUAUACUGAUUAUAUGUUACCUGUACUAUUAAACAAUUGUAUAUAUAAAAUUUUAAAUUUAUACUACUUUUGCUUUUUAUAAUUAUAAAAUAUUGAAAUUGAGUUAUAGAAUUCUUUUUGUAGGAGGGGAUUAUAACUCAGUAAGAAAAAGAAAAAGAGAAAUUUCCUUCAUAUCAUAUGCCUGAGAAAUAAAUAGGCAGAAGAUAGCCUCUCACUUGUCGUUUGUUCUUGUGGUGAUUAGAGAAGAUAGUGAAGAUAGAAAAAGAGAAAGGAAGAAAGAACCUUGUGCUCUUCAAGCUGUUCUUCCUUUUCUGAAUUGACGAACGUCAUUAUUCAAUGGGUCAAAUUUUUAUGACAAAUCCAAAUCAAAUAAGGAAAAUUCAAAAAUAAUGAGAACAUAACCCAAAACUCUCAUUUCUUCUAGAAAUUCCUUUUGAACCGCUGACAAAUAUAUACAAGUAAAUUAAGGAAAACAAGAAAGGAAAUUUAGGAACUUUCCCACUUAGAAGCCACGAGGCGGCAUGUUAGAGGUCAGUUCCCAGUCCGAGUCAAUAAGCCGCCAACUGAGUCAAACUUCACGCGCUGCCUUCAAACCUACUCUCUGUUACUCCCUCAAUAUAUAAUUUUCCUUCACUUUCUUGGAAAAUUCAUCUGCUUGCUUGCCUCACCUCAUGCGUGCUUUUGAACACCCAUAUAAAUUAUCCACAAAUCUUUACCCUGCCCACCCAUCAUCGAUCUCUCCAUCUCUUGCAGUAUAAUUCUCGGGUUUCAUUUUAAGUUCAUUCUUUCAGAAUUCUUGAUCUCUCUUAUAUUUUCUUGAAGUCCAUAUAUAUAUACACAUCUUUUGGGUUUCUUGAAGAUGAGUACUCCAAUGAAGUUAUAUGCUCUACCGAUCAUUGGGCUCGUGAUCUUUGCACUCUUCCAGAUUGGUUAUGCACAAACGAUGGCGCCUUCUCCUGCGGCAGAAGGUCCUUCCAGUGAUGGCAACUCAAUUGAUCAAGGAAUUGCUUAUGUUCUUCUACUCGUGGCACUUGCAGUCACAUACCUCUUCCAUUAACGUUUCAGUUUUUCCUUUCUUUGUUAGUAUAUCAUUAUGCUAAAUUCUUUAUGUACUUUUCUCCAUAUAUUGAUUUGGAGAAAUUGCAGCCAUUUUGUAUCUAUUGAAUCACUCUGUACUUAUUAAAAUUUUUUGUUAUGGAAACAGUAAGAUCAUUUCUUGA